rnacentral:rRNA from 1 species
AGAGUUUGAUCCUGGCUCAGGAUGAACGCUGGCGGCGUGCCUAAUACAUGCAAGUCGAACGCUUUGUGGUUCAACUGAUUUGAAGAGCUUGCUCAGAUAUGACGAUGGACAUUGCAAAGAGUGGCGAACGGGUGAGUAACACGUGGGAAACCUACCUCUUAGCAGGGGAUAACAUUUGGAAACAGAUGCUAAUACCGUAUAACAAUGACAACCGCAUGGUUGUUAUUUAAAAGAUGGUUCUGCUAUCACUAAGAGAUGGUCCCGCGGUGCAUUAGCUAGUUGGUAAGGUAAUGGCUUACCAAGGCGAUGAUGCAUAGCCGAGUUGAGAGACUGAUCGGCCACAAUGGGACUGAGACACGGCCCAUACUCCUACGGGAGGCAGCAGUAGGGAAUCUUCCACAAUGGGCGAAAGCCUGAUGGAGCAACGCCGCGUGUGUGAUGAAGGGUUUCGGCUCGUAAAACACUGUUGUAAGAGAAGAAUGACAUUGAGAGUAACUGUUCAAUGUGUGACGGUAUCUUACCAGAAAGGAACGGCUAAAUACGUGCCAGCAGCCGCGGUAAUACGUAUGUUCCAAGCGUUAUCCGGAUUUAUUGGGCGUAAAGCGAGCGCAGACGGUUAUUUAAGUCUGAAGUGAAAGCCCUCAGCUCAACUGAGGAAUUGCUUUGGAAACUGGAUGACUUGAGUGCAGUAGAGGAAAGUGGAACUCCAUGUGUAGCGGUGAAAUGCGUAGAUAUAUGGAAGAACACCAGUGGCGAAGGCGGCUUUCUGGACUGUAACUGACGUUGAGGCUCGAAAGUGUGGGUAGCAAACAGGAUUAGAUACCCUGGUAGUCCACACCGUAAACGAUGAGUGCUAGGUGUUUGAGGGUUUCCGCCCUUAAGUGCCGCAGCUAACGCAUUAAGCACUCCGCCUGGGGAGUACGACCGCAAGGUUGAAACUCAAAGGAAUUGACGGGGACCCGCACAAGCGGUGGAGCAUGUGGUUUAAUUCGAAGCAACGCGAAGAACCUUACCAGGUCUUGACAUCCCUUGACAACUCCAGAGAUGGAGCGUUCCCUUCGGGGACAAGGUGACAGGUGGUGCAUGGUUGUCGUCAGCUCGUGUCGUGAGAUGUUGGGUUAAGUCCCGCAACGAGCGCAACCCUUAUUACUAGUUGCCAGCAUUCAGUUGGGCACUCUAGUGAGACUGCCGGUGACAAACCGGAGGAAGGUGGGGAUGACGUCAAAUCAUCAUGCCCCUUAUGACCUGGGCUACACACGUGCUACAAUGGCGUAUACAACGAGUUGCCAACCCGCGAGGGUGAGCUAAUCUCUUAAAGUACGUCUCAGUUCGGAUUGUAGGCUGCAACUCGCCUACAUGAAGUCGGAAUCGCUAGUAAUCGCGGAUCAGCACGCCGCGGUGAAUACGUUCCCGGGUCUUGUACACACCGCCCGUCACACCAUGAGAGUUUGUAACACCCAAAGCCGGUGGGGUAACCUUCGGGAGCCAGCCGUCUAAGGUGGGACAGAUGAUUAGGGUGAAGUCGUAACAAGGUAG